GCCCCGGCCCCGGCGGCAGGUGCGGGGCGGCCGCGUCGCUCACCUUGCGUGGUCUGCCAGCUCAGCCCCCCGAUGAACAUUUUGCUGCGGGAGGAAGAGAGAGAGCCACAACACUGGAGAAGAGAGAAGAGGACCAAAGUGAGCUACCAUCUGUGAACACCAGAGGAAAAAGAGCAGCCUUGAGGAGGGCUGGAUGGAGGAUGUGGUUGGAGCUGCAGCCCUGGCAGUGACGGCACGCUGUACCACGUAACUUAUUCCAAGGCCCUUUCCAAAACACAGUCAUAUUUUGUGUUUCCACCUCAGGACCCCAAAGCCCUUUGGAAGUAUCAAUGCAUUUAUCUCUAUAACACACAGGCCUGAAGAAUCUGUGGAUUAGUGACAGUAGGAAGCUUUCCUCGAAGAGAAGUAAAUAUAUAAAACGUUCCAGACCUUAUGAUUGGAAAGAUGAUCUCCAAAUAUAAAAUAAUGCAGCAUUGUAUUCCUGGGGCUGCAGACAGACAGCUGUAGAGCCUCUGUGGCUGCUGCUGAGAGGUUGCCAAACACCAGCGAGAUUAACAAAACUGCUCAGUUUUCUUGCUGCUAUUCAGCGUCCCGCGCGUGGUCGAGUGACACUAUCAAAAUCAUGUCCACUUCCUGCUGGGGACGAUGAUUGGCAAAGUGCUGCCCAGCACCAGUGGCAGACACUGGAGUUAUUCAUGGGCAGAGGGAGGUUCCCAGAAGUGGAGGUUAGGGGAGGGGCAGGGCGGCAGGGCCUCCUUUGCUCCCCCAUCAUACAAGAGUGACAUAGAGACCAAGUCCUGGAGGCUCGGCUGCAUCCCGGAGCUGGGAGGUUCUGACCAGUGGGUACUCAGAGAAGUUUUGUUUUUCCAUUCAGUUUGGACAGUUAACAAACAAACUUGAGCUGGAA